rnacentral:rRNA from 1 species
UCGAACGGUAACAUAAAGAAGCUUGCUUCUUUGAUGACGAGUGCCGUUCGGGUGAGUAAUGCUUGGGAAUCUAGCUUAUGGAGGGGGAUAACUACGGGAAACUGUAGCUAAUACCGCGUAAUAUCGAAAGAUUAAAGUGUGGGACCUUCGGGCCACAUGCCAUAGGAUGAGCCCAAGUGGGAUUAGGUAGUUGGUGAGGUAAAGGCUCACCAAGCCGACGAUCUCUAGCUGGUCUGAGAGGAUGACCAGCCACACUGGGACUGAGACACGGCCCAGACUCCUACGGGAGGCAGCAGUGGGGAAUAUUGCGCAAUGGGGGCAACCCUGACGCAGCCAUGCCGCGUGAAUGAAGAAGGCCUUCGGGUUGUAAAGUUCUUUCGGUAGCGAGGAAGGCAUUUAGUUUAAUAGACUAGGUGAUUGACGUUAACUACAGAAGAAGCACCGGCUAACUCCGUGCCAGCAGCCGCGGUAAUACGGAGGGUGCGAGCGUUAAUCGGAAUAACUGGGCGUAAAGGGCACGCAGGCGGACUUUUAAGUGAGGUGUGAAAGCCCCGGGCUUAACCUGGGAAUUGCAUUUCAGACUGGGAGUCUAGAGUACUUUAGGGAGGGGUAGAAUUCCACGUGUAGCGGUGAAAUGCGUAGAGAUGUGGAGGAAUACCGAAGGCGAAGGCAGCCCCUUGGGAAUGUACUGACGCUCAUGUGCGAAAGCGUGGGGAGCAAAC